rnacentral:lncRNA from 1 species
UAAAGCCCAGUUUUAAUGUAAUAAGAAGAAGGCAAUUCACCUGUACUCAGCUCUACAGCCUCCACCCCAGCUGGGGGAAAACAAAUGGUGGAAGGGGAGAGGGGAGAGGGAAGAUGGCAAGAAUAAUUAAAAUGAACAUGAUUAAGCUAUAAGAGCAGUUUCCAAAUUGUUGUUCCAUACCAAAGAAUUGAAGGAAGCAGAGGAAUGUGAGGGGUUGGGUAAGGUGAAUGCUUUCAUUUUUUUCUAAGGUUCAUUUAAUUUUCCUCUUAAGCAC